CUUGAGCUUCAGCAGAAUUCGAAAUGGCUGGCGGUAAGGCUGGAAAGGACUCCGGAAAGGCCAAGACAAAGGCGGUUUCCCGCUCGCAGAGAGCCGGCUUGCAGUUCCCAGUGGGCCGUAUUCAUCGACACCUGAAAUCUAGGACGACCAGUCAUGGACGUGUGGGCGCGACUGCCGCUGUGUACAGCGCAGCCAUCGCCAGGCCAUUACCUGGGUACCUCACACCCAGGGCAGAGGUAAUACUUGAACUGGCAGGGAAAAUGCAUCAAAAGACUAAGGUAAAGCGUAUUACCGCCCUACGUCACUUGAACUUGCUAUUCGUGGGAGAUGAAGAAUUUGGAUUCGCUCAUCAAAGGCUACAUUGCUGGUGUGGUGUCAAUUCCACACAUCUUCCACAAAAUCUCUAUUGGGAAGAAAGGGACAACAAGAAGACUGUCUAACGGAUGCCUGGAUUCCUUGAUUUUCUCAGAGACUCCUAAAAUACUCUAA